AUUGAACGCUGGCGGCAGGCCUAACACAUGCAAGUCGAGCGGCAGCGGGAAAGUAGCUUGCUACUUUUGCCGGCGAGCGGCGGACGGGUGAGUAAUGCCUGGGUAAUUGCCCAGUCGAGGGGGAUAACAGUUGGAAACGACUGCUAAUACCGCUUACGCCCUACGGGGGUACGCCGGGGACCUUCGGGCCUUGCGCGAUUGGAGAUGCCGAGGUGGGAUUAGCUAGUUGGUGAGGUAAUGGCUCACCAAGGCGACGAUCCCUAGCUGGUCUGGGAGGAUGAUCAGGCACACUGGAACUGAGACACGGUCCAGACUCCUACGGGAGGCAGCAGUGGGGAAUAUUGCACAAUGGGGGAAACCCUGAUGCAGCCAUGCCGCGUGUGUGAAGAAGGCCUUCGGGUUGUAAAGCACUUUCAGCGAGGAGGAAAGGUUGAUGCCUAAUACGUAUCAACUGUGACGUUACUCGCAGAAGAAGCACUGGCUAACUCCGUGCCAGCAGCCGCGGUAACAC
rnacentral:rRNA from 1 species